UGAUUCGAGAGUUUGAUCCUGGCUCAGGACGAACGCUGGCGGCGUGCCUAAUACAUGCAAGUCGCACGGACACCUUCGGGUGUCAGUGGCGGA
rnacentral:rRNA from 1 species